rnacentral:rRNA from 1 species
GCCAGCAGCCAUAUCACCCUGCAACUCACAGCUGGCACCCCACUGAAGCUCAGCAGGUGUGAGCCUGGUCAGUACCUGGAAGGGAGACACCUGGGAAACACUAAGGCUGCUGCUGGAA